AGCGAACGCUGGCGGCAGGCCUAACACAUGCAAGUCGAACGGUCCUUCGGGAUAGUGGCGGACGGGUGAGUAACACGUGGGAACGUGCCUUUUGGUUCGGAACAACUUGGGGAAACUUAAGCUAUACCGGAUGUGCCCUUAGGGGGAGAGAUUUAUCGCCAUUAGAGCGGCCCGCGUCUGAUUAGCUAGUUGGUGGGGUAAAGGCCUACCAAGGCGACGAUCAGUAGCUGGUCUGAGAGGAUGAUCAGCCACAUUGGGACUGAGACACGGCCCAAACUCCUACGGGGGGCAGCAGUGGGGAAUCUUGCGCAAUGGGCGAAAGCCUGACGCAGCCAUGCCGCGUGAAUGAUGAAGGUCUUAGGAUUGUAAAAUUCUUUCACCGGGGACGAUAAUGACGGUACCCGGAGAAGAAGCCCCGGCUAACUUCGUGCCAGCCGCCGCGGUAA
rnacentral:rRNA from 1 species